rnacentral:rRNA from 1 species
AGCGAACGCUGGCGGCGUGCUUAACACAUGCAAGUCGAGGGAGAACGGAGGGCUUCGGCCUUCUUAGUAAACCGGCGCACGGGUGAGUAACACGUAGGUAACCUACCUCCGAGUUCGGGAUAACCUGUCGAAAGAUAGGCUAAUACCGGAUAAGACCACGAUGGCUUCGGCCACUGCGGUCAAAGAUGGCCUCUAUUUAUAAGCUAUCGCUUGGGGAUGGGCCUGCGCACCAUUAGCUAGUUGGUGAGGUAAUGGCUCACCAAGGCUACGAUGGUUAGUUGGUCUGAGAGGAUGACCAGCCACACUGGGACUGAGACACGGCCCAGACUCCUACGGGAGGCAGCAGUGGGGAAUAUUGCGCAAUGGGGGAAACCCUGACGCAGCGACGCCGCGUGGGUGAUGAAGGCCU